rnacentral:rRNA from 1 species
GAUGAACGCUGGCGGCGUGCCUAAUACAUGCAAGUCGAGCGAACAGACGAGGAGCUUGCUCCUCUGACGUUAGCGGCGGACGGGUGAGUAACAAGUGGAUAACCUACCUAUAAGACUGGGAUAACUUCGGGAAACCGGAGCUAAUACCGGAUAAUAUAUUGAACAGCAUGGCUCAAUAGUGAAAGACGGUUUUGCUGUCACUUAUAGAUGGAUCCGCGCCGCAUUAGCUAGUUGGUAAGGUAACGGCUUACCAAGGCAACGAUGCGUAGCCGACCUGAGAGGGUGAUCGGCCACACUGGAACUGAGACACGGUCCAGACUCCUACGGGAGGCAGCAGUAGGGAAUCUUCCGCAAUGGGCGAAAGCUUGACGGAGCAACGCCGCGUGAGUGAUGAAGGUCUUCGGAUCGUAAAACUCUGUUAUUAGGGAAGAACAAAUGUGUAAGUAACUAUGCACGUCUUGACGGUACCUAAUCAGAAAGCCACGGCUAACUACGUG